rnacentral:rRNA from 1 species
CACGUAGGGCGCAAGCGUUGUCCGGAAUUAUUGGGCGUAAAGAGCUCGUAGGCGGUCUGUUGCGUCCGCUGUGAAAACUCGGGGCUUAACCCCGAGCCUGCAGUGGAUACGGGCAGACUAGAGGUAGGUAGGGGAGAAUGGAAUUCCCGGUGUAGCGGUGAAGUGCGCAGAUAUCGGGAGGAACACCGGUGGCGAAGGCGGUUCUCUGGCGUUACCGUGACGCUGAGAGCGAAGCGUGGGGAGCGAAACGGUUGGAGAGUACC